AUUGAACGCUGGCGGCAUGCCUUACACAUGCAAGUCGAACGGUAACAGGUCUUCGGAUGCUGACGAGUGGCGAACGGGUGAGUAAUACAUCGGAACGUGCCCGAUCGUGGGGGAUAACGAAGCGAAAGCUUUGCUAAUACCGCAUAAGAUCUACGGAUGAAAGCAGGGGACCGCAAGGCCUUGCGCGAACGGAGCGGCCGGUGGCAGAUUAGGUAGUUGGUGGGAUAAAAGCUUACCAAGCCGACGAUCUGUAGCUGGUCUGAGAGGACGACCAGCCACACUGGGACUGAGACACGGCCCAGACUCCUACGGGAGGCAGCAGUGGGGAAUUUUGGACAAUGGGCGAAAGCCUGAUCCAGCCAUGCCGCGUGCAGGAUGAAGGCCUUCGGGUUGUAAACUGCUUUUGUACGGAACGAAAAGACUCUUUCUAAUAAAGAGGGUCCGUGACGGUACCGUAAGAAUAAGCACCGGCUAACUACGUGCCAGCAGCCGCCGUAAGAC
rnacentral:rRNA from 1 species